UGGCAUCGUCCACCUCGCCACGCAGUGCGGUCCGUGGAUUGUGGCCCAAAGGAAGUUGUGUUGCCUGGUCUGACGAGCAAGGCCGCAGAGACCCAUCAACUCCGACCUACCACACCCAUCAUCGCAUCAACCUGUUGUCGGGGACCAUCUCGUCCCAGGUGCCACCCGUGGCCACUGUGCGAGGACACCAAACACAGUGAGCCUUAGAGGAUCUGGGUGAAUCCACCGAUUCCAUUGGUUUGGCAGCAACGCACACCCCGUGCAGCGGCGAUGGCUUCGUUGUAGUUUGCCCACAUGAGGGGGGUUCGGUGUCCGUAGUGCACUCCGGUGGGGGGAAGUGGUGCACUCUAGUCCAAGUGCAUUGUGCUCCUCCCUUUCUUGCUUGUCGCCGACGGGUGUGUGCUUGAUGCGGUCAUGUGUGUGUUGGAUGUGCAGUCCAAUAAAGUUAUGUGUGCAAUUUGGCCGCGCGGGUGCUGCAGUUCACCAAUCGAGACAUACCACACGAUGCUGUUUUAGAAAGGUGCAUGCAUGUCCAUGUGGUUAGUGUUGUUCAUCAACUCUGGCUUUUCUUUAUUUUGGUUGAUGGUAGCUAUGUAAAAUUUGCAAGGUCUCUUUUCUGUAAUUAUUGAAAAAGCAAUGCUUUUCAUGCUGCUAUACACAUUUGUUUACUUGUCAAAAAUAAUGUUGAAUAAUGGUUAAUGAUGGAGUUCGCU
rnacentral:lncRNA from 1 species